rnacentral:lncRNA from 1 species
AUUUGUUUGUACUGAUGAUCAACUUGCUGACAUCUUCACAAAACCUUUGAGUGAAGAUCGAUUUUGUAUACUUAGAAGAGGGUUAGGAGUGAUUGAUCCAUUCUAGUGAUACUCUACUCUAAUUCAUUGAUUUUGAUGAUUAGCUUAUGUUAGACAUAGGGUUUCUUAUCUAUGAUCAUCAAAUCAGUUCUUAAAUCUUUGAUAGUUCCAUAACUCUCUCUUUUGGCACGGAAAUAACAAGUUUUUUGGUUAUGUGCCAGAGUUCGAGUCGACUCG